UUCUGCAGGUACCAGUGGAGAUCAUCAUCAAUUUUCUGACUGGCUCUGCAGUUGAUGGUAACAGUUUGUCCUGGAGAAACCGAGUGAGAUCCUGGAGUCUGAGUCAUGAUGAUUUCUCCAAACGACUCUAAAGAGAAGAAGAGAGAAAAGUUGAAGGUGAUAAAGAGACGGUGAUGGUGAGCGCUGAUGUUGGAGGACUGAUAUGAAGAUAGUAAAUAAACAGUGAAUCUCACGUUGAGUGAGGAGGCCGAGUGUAUUCAGCAGUAGAAUCAGAACCUUCAUCAUUGUGCUGCGUCUCAGUGACUCUGAAAGUCCUGAACCCAGUCUGAUCAGAACUACAGCUCUUAUAGUGUGUGUGUGUGUGUGUGUGUGUGUGUGUGUGUGUGUGUGUGUGUGUGUGUGUGUGGAAUCACUGGAGUGGAACAGAGGUUUUUGUACGACGGCUUCAUUGGAAUGUAUCACUGUGCUACACUUUUGGUGGAGGAACCAAACUCAUUGUAAACACCGGUCCCACGGUGAAGCCGUCCGUGUCUCUGCUCCCUCCCUCCUCUCUGCAGCUGUCUGAGGGAUCGGCCUCGCUGCUCUGCCUGCUGUCUGGUUACUCUCCACAGGGGGCGCUGGUGAGCUGGACGGUGGACGGCACAGUGCUGCAGGACGGGGUGGUGACCGGAGCAGAAGAACUUAAAGGGGGCAGUUGGAGGCGUGGUAGCACCCUGACCCUCACCAAAGCACAGUGGGAAAAGAGGGCGGAGUUUGGCUGUAAGGUCUCUCACGGUGGCGUCGAUCAUCCCGUCGUAUUCAGAAAGAACCAGUGUGAAGGCUAGCAGCUCCCAGAUAGAACUGAACAUGGAGACACUUCCACAUGCUUCUACAAUGGAGUUUCAGUUCUACACAAUGCUGCAUUUCGGUCUUUCCUCUGUUCAGUGUCCUGUUGCUCUUCCUGUAGUUUUGCUGUGCUGAAAUAAAGCUUGAUUUUGGA